rfam:Oryza barthii chromosome 3, whole genome shotgun sequence.
AAAUAGACAAAAACCGGAUUUUUAUGUCAAACAUUUAGCCGUCUUAUAUAUAUAUUUUUUAUAAUUAGUAUUUUCAUUGUUGUUAGAUGAUAAAACAUAAUUAAUACUUUAUUCGUGACUUGUCUUUUUAAUUUUUUCAAAUAAGACGGACGGUUAAACGUUAGACACGGAGAUCUAGGGUU